rnacentral:rRNA from 1 species
UGGUGGAGUGAUUUGUCUGGUUAAUUCCGUUAACGAACGAGACCCCUGCCUGCUAAAUAGGCUGCCGAAUGAGUCUUCAUUGGGUGAGUCUUCUUAGAGGGACGUGCAUUCUACAAGAUGCAGGAAGAUAGGGGCAAUAACA